UGCCCCUACGGGAGGCAGCAGUCGGGAAUAUUGCGCAAUGGAGGAAACUCUGACGCAGUGACGCCGCGUGCAGGAAGAAGGUUUUCGGAUUGUAAACUGCUUUAGACAGGGAAGAAACAAGACAGUACCUGUAGAAUAAGCUCCGGCUAACUACGUGCCAGCAGCCGCGGUAAUACGUAGGGUGCAAGCGUUAUCCGGAUUUAUUGGGCGUAAAGGGCUCGUAGGCGGUUCGUCGCGUCCGGUGUGAAAGUCCAUCGCUUAACGGUGGAUCCGCGCCGGGUACGGGCGGGCUUGAGUGCGGUAGG
rnacentral:rRNA from 1 species